rnacentral:rRNA from 1 species
CCUACGGGAGGCAGCAGUGAGGAAUAUUGGUCAAUGGCCGCAGGGCUGAACCAGCCAAGUCGCGUGAGGGAUGACGGUCCUAUGGAUUGUAAACCUCUUUUGUCAGGGAGCAAAGGGCGCCACGUGUGGCGCUUUGCGAGUACCUGAAGAAAAAGCAUCGGCUAACUCCGUGCCAGCAGCCGCGGUAAUACGGAGGAUGCGAGCGUUAUCCGGAUUUAUUGGGUUUAAAGGGUGCGCAGGCGGAAUGUCAAGUCAGCGGUAAAAUUUCGGGGCUCAACCCCGUCGUGCCGUUGAUACUGGCGUUCUUGAGUGAGCGAGAAGUAUGCGGAAUGCGUGGUGUAGCGGAGAAAUGCAUAGAUAUCACGCAGAACUCCGAUUGCGAAGGCAGCAUACCGGCGCUCAACUGACGCUCAUGCACGAAAGCGUGGGUAUCGAACAGGAUUAGAUACCCGAGUAGUC